UGUCCUACGGGAGGCAGCAGUCGGGAAUAUUGCGCAAUGGAGGAAACUCUGACGCAGUGACGCCGCGUAUAGGAAGAAGGUUUUCGGAUUGUAAACUAUUGUCGUUAGGGAAGAUAAAAGACUGUACCUAAGGAGGAAGCCCCGGCUAACUAUGUGCCAGCAGCCGCGGUAAUACAUAGGGGGCAAGCGUUAUCCGGAAUUAUUGGGUGUAAAGGGAGCGUAGGUGGCAGGGCAAGUCAGAUGUGAAAACCCGGGGCUCAACUCCGGGAGUGCAUUUGAAACUGUCCAGCUAGAGUGCAGGAGAA
rnacentral:rRNA from 1 species